AUGUCCGAUCCGAAUUACAUGACUUCACGCGCAAUCCUCUCCACCACGAACGACAACGUCGACAAGAUAAACAUACGCAUGGUAGAGCGUUUUCGGGGAGAAGAAGUAAUCUACCAUAGCUUUGACAGUGCAGAAGACGACCCGUAUGGCUACUACGCUCCCGAGUUCCUAAAUGGAUUGACUCCGAACGGUCUGCCACCGCAUGCACUCAAACUGAAGCUCAACUGCCCAGUCAUACUUCUCCGGAACAUUGAUCCGGCUAAUGGUCUGUGUAACGGGACGAGGCUUGUGGUGCGAGGUUUCGAGAGGAAUGCCAUCGACGCAGUAAUCGUGAUCGGACAACACACAGGUAGGAGGGUAUUCCUUCCUCGAAUACCCCUAUGCCCGUCUGACAACGACAUGUUUCCAUUCAAGUUCAAGAGGAAGCAAUUUCCUGUAAGACUUAGCUUUGCUAUGACGAUUAACAAGGCUCAAGGCCAGACGAUUCCGAUUGUUGGUGUGUACCUACCUAAUCCGGUGUUUUCUCAUGGUCAACUGUAUGUUGCAUUGUCUCGAGCCACCGCAAAGAGAAAUAUAAAGAUCCUCAUUGAGAAGGAGAAGGAGAAGGAGAAUGCCAAGAAGAAAAGCGGUAAAUCUAAGAAGCGAAAAAGACCUGCCUUGUCCUUACAGACCGCGAUGAAGAACAUCGUCUAUAAGGAAGUCCUUACGGGCUGA
rnacentral:rRNA from 1 species